GACGAACGCUGGCGGCGUGCUUAACACAUGCAAGUCGAACGGUAAGGCCCUUCGGGGUACACGAGUGGCGAACGGGUGAGUAACACGUGGGUGAUCUGCCCUGCACUUCGGGAUAAGCCUGGGAAACUGGGUCUAAUACCGGAUAGGACUCCGGACUGCAUGGUCUGGGGUGGAAAGCUUUUGCGGUGUGGGAUGGGCCCGCGGCCUAUCGGCUUGUUGGUGGGGUGAUGGCCUACCAAGGCGACGACGGGUAGCCGGCCUGAGAGGGUGACCGGCCACACUGGGACUGGGAUACGGCCCAGACUGCUACGGGAGGCAGCAGUGGGGAAUAUUGCACAAGGGGCGCAAGCCUGAUGCAGCGACGCCGCGUGAGGGAUGACGGCCUUCGGGUUGUAAACCUCUUUCAGCACAGACGAAGCGCAAGUGACGGUAUGUGCAGAAGAAGGACCGGCCAACUACGUGCCAGCAGCCGCCGUAA
rnacentral:rRNA from 1 species